UUACAAGUUACCAACUAAAAAGGAAAAUAAAAAGCACCAGCCUAACAAAAUUCCACAGCUUAUCUCUGUAGAUAGAUGUUAGCGUAAAUUGUAACAAUGGUUCUUUAAUUUUAACUCAAUUGGAACUAUGAUUCCUCAACUAAAAAUUCAUUACCAUUGGUUCCUCAACUCAUCAAAACGUGCAGCUAUAGUCCAUCAACUAAAAAUUCAUUUCCAUUUGUCUCUCAACUUUAAUCGAACUGGUUCCUCAAUUCAUCAAAUCGUGCAGCUAUAGUCUCUCAACUAAAAAUUCAUUUCCAUUUGUCUCUCAACUUUAAUCGAACUGGAGAAAUGAUCUCUUAACUUUAACUUAAUUCGAGCAAUGAUCCCUCAACUUUAACCCAAUUGUAGCAAUAAUCCUUCCAACAUAACUUGUUUUGACAAAAUUCUAACGAAAUUAAUGAAAAUUAUCAUAGCUACACGUUUUGAUGAGUUAAAGAACCUCAAUUGUAGCAACGGUCCUUCCAACAUAACUCAUUUUGACAAAAUUUUGAUUAAGUUAAUGAAAAUGAUCAUAACUACACAUUUUGAUGAGUUGAAGGAUCAAUGGUAAUGAAUUUUUAGUUGAAGGAUCAUUACUCCAAUUUGAGGAACUAUUGCUAUAAUUUACUCUAGAUGUUAUAGUUCACUUCAGUGCAAGAAAGAUACUACACAGUAACACAUGAACAGAACAUGGUAAUUGGUACUUGAACAUUUUUUCCCAUAUUCCCAUUCUACCCUUGACAUUGCUCACUUUUUACAUGAUAGAGCAGGCAUUAGGGUUCUCAUCACUGAAGAUCUGAGGUGGGUAGGCAUACUGUUCCAUGAUCUGAGGUGGGUUUGCAUACUGUUCCAUGAUCUGAGGUGGGUAGGCAUAGUGUUCCAUGGCAUACCUUGGUGGGUAAGAAUAGUUUUCAUUCUUCUUCAUCAGCUCCACCACCUUGGUCUCUUCUGCGGCAGCUCCUUCCGGUGCACCACCAGCGGCCGCGGCGGCAGCUUCAUUGUUGUCACCUUUAUUUUCCUUGUUCUCUUCUGCUUUCGCUUCAUCGCCACCACCAUCUUUGCCCUUCUUAUCUUUGUCACCUACUUCACCACCUUUCUUCUCAUCUUUGGCUUUUUCUUUCUCUUUCUUCUCCGGUUCUUGCUUCACGAUCGCCGCGUGCUUCCCGGUUCUUUUGUGCACAUAAUCAACUAGCUUAGGCGGAUCAAACACACCCUUCACUGUCACCUCUGAGCUCUUAAGAUCUGCCUCAGCAGAUUCCACUCCUAAAAAAGUAAUACAAAAGAAAAGCACACAAACAAGAUUAAUUGGAAAAUCGCUCGAAUAAAAUAAUUAUUUUAAAAACAGAAACUUUUGGAAAUAAUUUAAAGUUGGGAUUGGUGGGAUUUGGUCUUGGAAGAGAAUUAAAUUGACUUUAAUUGGACUUGAUUUUUGUGAACUCUAGAAAUUAAUGAAUUAUAUUAUUGAAGAUGAAGAAUGAAUUGACAUUGAAAGAUUGGUCAUUAUUGAUAGAAUAAUAAACUCUUUUUUUAAAGAGAUUCACAAAAAAGAAAAUUAAUAAAAGUUCAGGACCGUUAAUUGCCAACGCAUCCAUACUCCAAAUUUCCCAUUUUUUAAUUUGUGGAAAGUUAGAAAAUGCUUGAACCAAAAUCUGAAAAAGGAUCAAAGACAUAAUCGUUUUUUUCUUUUUAUUUUUUGGGUUUUGUUCUUAUCUCUCUGAGAAAAGAAAACCAAAAUAAAAAUUUGAGUACACCUUUUAUUCUGAGAAUGCGUUUCUUGAUUUCUUGGGCACAGGCGUCGCAAUGCAUGUGAACUUUCAGCACCACUGUGAUUACCUGGGGCUGCAACAAAACAAAAAAUAAUUAAACCCAUCAAAUUGAAAGAAAAAAAAAUCAAUUAAAAUGGCAAUGGAAAAAAUUCUGCAAAAUGAUUAAAAUAUUUGAGUGGACUGAGAACCUCUUCUUUCUUUUCCUCUGGUUUGGGCUUCUCUUUCUCCUCCGCCGGCGGUUUUGGGAUUGGAAAGAGAAGCUCCACCUGCCGGUGGCUCUUCCUCUGAACUCUUUCAAGAACCUUAAUUGGUUCAGCCUUCUCUCCCUUCACCACCACCUUGUGAGUCUUGCAAUCUGUGCUCACAUCUUCCACCCCUGAAAAUUAAAAAAUUAAAUCAAACACAAAUUAAUCCCCCAACCCAAUAUUCCAAUAACGCAAACACAAAAACAAACCUUGAAAUCCUUUGAGGCACCGCUUGACCUUGCGAGCACAUCCCUCACAAUGCAUAUAAACUUUGAGCACAAUUUCUUGGGGUGGCGGCGGAGGCGGAGGAGCGGUGGCGGCAUCACCCUCCUUGGCCUCUGCUUUCCCAUCUUUUCCCUCCUCGGCUUUCUCCUUCUUUUGCUCGGCAGCCUCAGGCUUCUUCUCCUCCGCCUCUGGCUUCUUCUCCUCCAUUUUCUUCUCCUCUGGUUUCUUCUCCUCCUAAACCAACACAAACCCAAAUACAAAAACAAACCCAAUAAACAAAAGAUACAAACUUCGAGAGAAACAAAUCAUAUUAAAAAAAAUAUAUAUAUAUCAAAUCAAAAAUUGAUUAUUAAAGUUGUAGGACCUCCCCCAUUGGUGUAGUUCAAUUGUUAAGUUUUACUCUGUUUUUAAAAUCUCUCCUCUCUCUCUCUCUCUCUCUCUCUCUCUCGAUCUCUCGAGUGGCAUGGGAGCUCAGCUUUCUCUAUAUUUGCGAGAAAUGGGCACUCUCUCUUUUGUGUUUGUUUUUUUUGGUUAAAACUCUCUUUGUGCUUUGUAUUAAACUUUGAGUCACAUAUUUGGGUCCCUCAGAUCUGUAGCCAAAAGCCACUCGGUUCUAUCUCUCUCAUCAUCAUCCAACUUCUGCAAUUUUCUAACCCCAUGACGUGGCAUUGUUGAGUGCCCAUGUGUGCGCAGAAAUUAAUAUUUACUGCACUCUGUGAUUAAAUUGUUUUGUUUUUUGUUUUUUUGGGGCAUUUCUGGAAUAUUCUACCACUUGUUUCUGCUGUUUUUCUUUUGCUCUUGUUCCUUUCAAUGGACUGUACUUGGAUGCUUGCUUUGUCAUUUUGGCAGCUCUUCAUGUGUGGACUUCGAGUUAUUAGGGCACUUCUACUAUAGGAAGGACCAAGGGCGGAGCUACCAUGGGCCUAGAGGGGGCGGAUGCCCCCACUGAGAUUUUUCUGAUGCUGGCAUGCUCAUCUGUUUCUGCAGCAGCAAAGCCCCCACUGCGAUUUUGAGCAGCAGCAAAGCCCCCACUGCAAUUUUCUGGUUCCUCCGAUCUGGGUCUUUCUAAACCAGGCCAAAGGCAAAACGAACCUCUGCAGAAGCCUGAUCUGAUUUUUUUUUUUUAAUGUAAACGAAACGGCGUCGUUUCGUAUAUGUUUAAAAAAAAAAAGUUAUGUUAUAGUAUUAGUGGGGGACCAGACUCCCAUUUCUUUUUUUUUGUCUCCUAAAAAAGUUAUGUUAUAGUAUUAGUGGGGGACCAGACUCCCAUUUCUUUUUUUUUUUACUCCCUUUGUUUUCGUUGCCCUUUGUCAGAGAGCAGCUUGGUGCUGCUCUGUUUGUCUUCUCCAAAGUCCAAACCAAUACCUUGAAAGUUGCUCUCCUGUCCAGGUGCUCUCUGGAGCAAAGUUGCUCUUCCCAGCCAUGCCAGCAGCCAGCCAUUCUCUAGUCUCUAGCCGACAACAUAUAUAUAUAUAUUUAGGUAAAAUUUUUAAUUCCUAAAUCUAUAAUUCCUAACCCUAAUUAAUUAUUUAAGACGAAUUUUUGUUUAAUUGGUAUAGAAAUAUAGAAUCAUAUGGAUAUGGUAUGCACUAAUAUGGAUGGUUAUUGACUUAUUGAUUAUUGAUAUGAUGAAUUCUAUGAUUAUUGAUGAAUGAAAUUAUGAAAUUAUGAAUUCUAUAAAUAUGGGUAUACAUUUAUUCAAAUGAUUAGUUGAAUUAAAUGUUUAUUUGUUGAAUAAUUUGUAUGCUUAUUGGUAUUAGUUAAUUGAAUUGUUGCCUUGGUUGGAUAUGGAUUAGUUAUUAGGCAUUUAUUUUAUUUUUUGGUUAAGAAAGCAUAUAUAUUAAUAUGGAUAACAUUGUCAACAUCUCCAAGAAAACUCAAUUCUACGGCUUAACAGUCUAAAAACAAAUCCAUUUUUCAGAAAUGGAAUCAUAAUCAUCCCCUUUCGAAACCCAAAAAAGAAGAAGAAAUGGAUUAGUUAUUAUUAGGCAUAUUAGUAUAGUAUACUCUAGGAUUAAGAGUCUAAGAAUUUUAUUGAGAUUUUUAUUCUAUAAAUUCUACAAAUUACGUAUGAACCUUAUAUGUUAUUGGUAUAUGACUAACUUUGUAGGCUGAAACAUCAUGGAGAGGUUUUUCAAAAAAAUAUCAGUGCCGCCACCAUCCCCAAUUAUUGAGAAAAAUAAUGAUACUCGGGGACAUGAUAGUGCAGAAUUUAUUUUAUCAAAUCUUCCAUCAGAUCCUGGUAAGAGAAUUCGAAUUUUGGAUUACAAUCCUAAUAUUCGAGAUCAAGUACGAAGAGCGUAUGUACUAGCUGGUCCUCAACAACCUAAAACCCAUAAUUUUCCUUACAAGAAAUAUGGAGACACGCAAAGACGAUUCAACCCUGCUUGGUUUGAUGAUUUUCCUACUUGGUUGGAAUAUAGUGUAGAAAAAGAUGCUGCCUUUUGUCUGUGUUGCUACCUUUUUAAACCAAACAUUGGAGAACAAGCAGGUGGUGAUUUCUUUGUUGGCGAAGGAUUUUCUAACUGGAAGAAGAAAGAAAGACUUCUAACUCAUAUUGGAGGCGUCAAUAGUGCACACAAUCAAGCGUGGAGUAAUUUUGAAGCUUUAAGGAGUCAAAAGCAACAUAUCCAGUCUUUUUUCUCUAAAACUCAUGAUGAAGCUCGAAUUCAAUAUAGAGCUCGGUUGAAUGCAUCAAUUGAUUGUUGUCGAUUUCUUUUGAGACAAGGGCUUGCAUUUCGUGGUAAUGAUGAAUCUGAACAUUCAAGCAACCAUGGAAACUUUCUUGAGCUUCUACAGUUUAUUGCUGACCACAAUGAGGAUGUGAAAGCCGUUACUUUGAAAAAUGCUCCGGAGAAUCACAAAUUGACAUCACCAGAUAUUCAAAAAGACAUUGUAAAUGCUUGUGCAACUGAGACGAUCAAGGCUAUUAUUGAAGACGUUGGCACUUCGUUGUUCUCUAUUUUGAUUGAUGAAUCUCGUGACGUAUCAACGAAGGAACAAAUGGCUAUUGUAUUGCGUUAUGUGGACAAGAAUGGGCAUGUCGUUGAGCGUUUUAUUGGCAUUGAGCAUGUUACUAGUACCGCUGCUCUCUCACUCAAGGAAACCAUUGAUGGGGUAUUUUCUAGGCAUAAAUUGAGCAUGUCUAGGUUGCGUGGGCAAGGUUACGAUGGGGCCAGCAAUAUGCAAGGUGAGUUCAAUGGUCUUAAAGCUCUUAUUAUGAAAGAAAGUGGUUGUGCCUAUUAUAUUCAUUGCUUUGCACAUCAACUUCAAUUAGCUCUUGUAGCUGUGGCAAAGAAGAACAUUCAAAUUGAGUCUCUUUUUAGUAUAGUUACUAUUUUGGUAAAUGUUGUUGGAGCUUCAUCGAAGCGUUGUGAUCUUCUUCGGGAGAAGCAAUCUAUUGCAGUUAUUGAAGCACUAAACAGUGGUGAGUUUACAAGUGGGAAAGGCAAAAAUCAAGAAACUACUUUGAAACGUGCUGGAGAAACACGUUGGGGUUCACACUUGGGUACUUUAGUAAGUAUAAUGACUAUGUUUUCAUCCAUACUUGAUGUACUUGAAGUAAUAGCAGAUGAUGGAGUAAGCUCUCAACAAAGAUGUGAAGCGAAUAAUUUAUUGGAUUCCAUGCAAUCAUUUGAUUUUGUGUUUAAUCUACACUUGAUGAAAGAUAUACUUGGAAUAACCAAUGAAUUGUCACAAGCAUUGCAAAGGAAGGAUCAAGAUAUUGUAAAUGCUAUGAAGUUGGUUGGAGUUUGUAAGCAAAGGUUGGAGAUAAUGAGGAAAAAAAUGGUUGGGAUUCUUUACUCAAUGAAGUCUCAGAAUUUUGUCUUAAACAUGAUAUUGAUGUGCCUAAUAUGGAUGAUAUGUUUCUUUCUCGAAGGCGAGGGCAACGAAAAGCAAAAGCAGUCACAAAUAUGCAUCACUAUUGUGUUGGGAUAUUUUAUGUUGUUUUGGAUUGGCAGCUUCAAGAACUAAAUAAUCGUUUCAAUGAGACCAACACUGAGUUACUUCUUUGUUUGGCAUGUUUAUGUCCAGCCGACUCCUUCUCUGCUUUUGAUAGCCAAAAGCUAUUGCGUCUUGCCCAAUUUUUAUCCUAAAGACUUCUCUAUGAAUGAGCUGGUGAUACUUAAGAUUCAACUUGAGACUUACAUUGUGGAUAUGCGGUCUAGCAUUGAGUUUUCAGGUUUAAAAGAGAUUGGAGAUCUUGCAAAAAAAAUGGUUCAAUGCAAGAAACACAAGGUGUAUUCGCUGGUUUACUUGCUUGUGACAUUAGCACUAACUCUUCCAGUUGCUACUGCAACCGUUGAAAGAGCAUUUUCGGCCAUGAAAAUUCUGAAGAAUCGAUUGAGAAAUCGGAUGGGAGAUCAAUGGAUGAAUGAUAACAUGGUUAUUUUUAUAGAGAGAGAGAUAUUUGAUGGUAUUGGUAAUGAUGUUGUCAUGCAACGCUUUCAGAACAUGAAAACGCGUCGAGGGAUAUUGUAAAGGACUGUUGUAUGAAAAACUUUAUGGAUUAAUAUAUAAGUAUUGUGUUUAGUAAAUUCUUAAGCUUUUUAAUUAUGACUUUGUUGUUUGAGGAUGCCCCCAUUCACACAAAUCUCUGGCUUCGUCCCUGGGAAGGACCCCAGGAUAAUUGACAAUUAAAUCUCCUCUAUUGAAUAAUAAUCGUUUUUAAUAAACAGUAAUUGUCUUUUACAUCUUCAUCUUUAAACUGAAUAGUCAUGGCAAUAGGCAAUUAAAUAUUAUUUAAGCAAGGGGAAGAAAUGUUCAAUCUCCAGGAGGGCGAAAAUGAGAUGGAAGAGGAAGAUGAUGAGGAGCGUAAAAGGAGAGAUGACGAAGUAAGUAGUCAAAGAGCCUUAUAUUCCUGUCGAGUCAUCCAAGUUGUGGCUGAGAUCUUCAGGCCUAGCCAUUCCGCAAACAUCGAUGGAAUCAGGCAACGACGACGUAAGGAUCUCUUGGACGAUUAUUUUGUCUGUAACAGUGUAUUCCCUAAUAUGUGCUUUAGAAGUUGUUUUAGAAUUCAACGACAUUUGUUCGAUAAAAUCAUGAUUGUUGUUUGCAACCAUGAUUCUUACUUUGUGCAAAAGAAUGAUGCUUUUGGUGUCAUGGGUCUCAUUCUUAAGCAAAAAAUUACUACUGCUUUGCAGAUGCUUACAUAUGGAGCAUCUGCAGACCAAGUGGAUGAAAUAGCGAGGAUGGGGAAAUCAACCAUUCUUGAGUCCCUGAUAAGGUUUUGCUCCGCAAUCAAAUCUAUCUACACCAAAGAGUACCUCCGAAGACUUACGACAAUAUACUUGCAAAGGCUUCUGAAGAAGGGUGAGAUGCAAGGUUUUCCUGGUAUGAUUGGAAUCAUCAACUGUAUGCUUUAGACCUGGAAAAAUUGUCCAAGUGCAUGGCAAGGAGCUUAUGAGGACAGAAAAUGAGUAAAAAGUAUCAUUUUGGAGGCAGUGGCAUCAUUUGAUACAUGGAUUUGGCAUGCUUUUUGACAUGUAUCAUUCUUCACAACAUGAUUGUGGAAGAUGCGUAUGAUUAUGAUGUCAUUAAUGAAUUUGAGCUAGACCCGAUGAACAAUUCCAAAACAGAAAUAUAUUGUGCUCAUGAUGCCACUUAAGAACCUGUGCAACACGAGCCAUUAGAAAUGGAUGGACGUUACAAUGAAAAGCUCAUUGAACGACAUACUUCGCUCCAAUCCUCAUACUAUCACAAAUCCCAGCAAAUUGACUUGAUAGAGCACUUGUGGGGAUUGAAAAAAGCUCAAGAAACUUAAAAACAAGUUUGUGAUGGAAGAAGAAUGCUCUUAGUUUGUUUGGUGUGUUUUUUAAGUUCAUUUAGUGUGGUUUUUUUUUAUUUGGUGUGUUUAUGUUCUUUGAAUAAAGAUUUUCUUAGUUUAAAUAAAGUACCAAAUUAAAUAAAGAUACUCUUGGUUUAAAUAAAUACGAAAUUACAUAAAGUACCAAAUUAAAUAAAUACAAAAUACAACCCAAAGUGAUUGGAAAAUUAUGGGCUCCGAUUAUACAACAAAUUCCCUAGUCCUUCGUGAAUGGAAAAUCAUCACCUAACCAAUUUGUGGUGCUAGGACCAUCUCCACUUGCUCUCUCUUCUCUUGCACGCCUCUUUUGCACCAUCUUUGAAUUCCAAAAAUAUUUAGAAUUUGAUGAAAUCUACAGGCUCCUUCAUAGUUUCACGAUCUUGUUGGGCCCUUCUUUCUUCUUUAAGCUAUUCCCUUUCUUGCCUAAGUAGCUCUUUCUCUCUUAUUAGCUUGAAAUAAUCUCUCAGCAGAUACAGCUUUUGCCUCAUCUCUAACCUUAUUAGCCUCAAAAUUAACCAUUUCCCGUGCCAAAAUCAAAUCACCUUGGUGAGCAAGUUCUUCCAUAUAUUUUGCAUAAUUAUUCUUGGAAGCACUCCCUUUUCUCUUUGAAGCCUAAGCGGAUAACGGGUCGACACUGGCACUUGUUUAGGGGUCACUUCAGGCACUUGUUUUGUGUCGCUUUCAUGAACAUGCGAGUCUUGAUCUGGUGUAGAGUGUAGAGGGGUGUUGUUCAUGAUAACUUCUAAACCGACACAACUCUGAAUUUGGGACAAUCUUUGACAAUAUUCCAACAUUCCCACCGGUUGAAUGAUUUGAUUUUGUUUUUGGCAUUAUACCAAGUUUGUGCUUGAAGUGUCUACAAAAUGCGGGAGAAAAAAAAUUAUAAUCAAAGUAGCUAAUGUAAAUUUGGGUAUAGUACAAACAAAUAAAUAAUAUAUUGUUACCUGAUCCGCGUAAUUUUCCCACUUCGAAUAUUAGUACUAGCUUGUGUCAAGGUGUUUCUCCAAUGAGUAAACGGUUAGCUGAGUAUUCUCCAACAACUUGAGAGUGAUUGUUCCGUUCUUUUGCCACCAAUUUUCUCAAGAAAAAUGGAAUGAAUAUUGCUCCACAUUUCUCGCAACUGCAUCUCAUUACUCGUAAUCGGAUCAUGAGUAACUUCAACCCAACUAGAACACAACGUAAUAUCUUCAAUAAGCGUCCAAUUCAUAUCUAUAUCAUUAGCCUUUUUUUUUUUUGGAAACAAAAGUAUAUAUAAACUUUGAGAGAAAGAUUGGAAUGUGGUUGAAAGUAUUUGAGAAAAUAUGAAAUUGUAAGGUGGAAGAUAAUGAUAAGGUAUUUAUAGAAAAAUAAAAUCAAUUUUUAAAAAAGAAAAAGUUUAAUUUUUUUCGUAUUUUUUUAUUAAUUUUUAACUUUUUUAUUAACUUAAUUAAAUUUUUCCUUUUGAUUAAAGAAAAAUCCAACCCUCCAGAUUGUGCCAUGUGUCAUAAUAGUAACAUAUCAGAUUUUUUUUUUCUUUUUUUUUUCAUUGUUAAAGCCGAAAAAUGUGGACCAUUGAUCUGGAAUCGAACAACUGAGAUUGUGCCACGUCAUCUAGCCGUUGGGGGAGGUUUUACCGUUGGAAAUCCAAUGGUCCAAAAAAAUUAGCCUUUGAAAUCCGACGGACGAAAGGGUGCCACGUGGCACCAGUAACGAUAACAUUUCAGAGUUUAAACAGCGAGCCCCACCGACUGAAAUCUUGUCGGUGACGCGCCCCCACGCGUUGGUGUUAUGCACACGCCUGACGCAAUUUUUUUUAUAACAUAGCUGACAUCAUCCUGACGUCAGCCUUGCAUCACAUAGCCCUCAGGCACUCGGACCUUGGACUCACGCCUGCCCUUUCCCACGGGCUCCCCCUUAGCCCAAUUGCUCACAUGGGCUAGAGCAAGUUUGGGAGGCUAUUGGGUUGCUUUGGUUCCUUGUCCACCGGACUAUCUCUAUUCCUGGACUUGCUCUUAGAAUGGUGGGGGUGAAUUUCAUAGAGUGAGUGAGUCACUAAAAGAAUUUCCAGUAAUAUUAAAAAGUAUUUGUUUGACAAUCACUUGCAAGUCGCAUGUAUAUGUAAACUUGUGACGGAGUCGAUGAUGAAAAUUUGAUUGAGUAAAGUCUAAAUUUACUGCUCGUCUAUACUUAAUCAAAGAAUUGUAAUGAUUAUAGUAUUAUUAUUUGUCAUUACGCACCAAUGGAUGCACAAACUGACCAUCAAUAUGUAUAAGUAAACUUGGGUGUUGGGUUGGUGAAGGUUUAAUUGUGUACCAAGUAACGUCUAAAUUUAUAACUCAUUCCUAAUGCUUAUCAGUUCGGAACGUGACCACUUGUAAGGCAUGCACACAAGAAAAAUUAAAGUUAAAUAAACAAGCAUGAAAAUCAUUGUUUCUUAGUUGGUAAUCAAGGCUUGGAGAUUACAUUAGGCUUGAUCAUUAAAAUACCAUAACCUUUUUAGCGUUGACCGCCAAGUAAACUCGGGCGUUGCACCAAUGAAGAUUUUAUUAGGUAACAGAUAACGCCUAAAUUUACAGCUAAUUCCUAAUACUUAUUUCUUUGCAAUUUGACCACUUGUAACUUUGUAAGGCAUGCACAUAAGAAAAAAUAAAAAAUAAAAAACAUGUAAAUCAUUAUUUCUCAAUUGGCAUUCAAUUUUUUUUUAUAUUUAAUCAUUUUAGCUUUCACCUUAAAAUAAACUUAGGUGAUAUCUAAGUUUGAUUAAGAAGCUAAGUUUUUAACUAAUUUUUUAAACUCAGCCGAUUCAUUAGUGUGAAUCGCCAAUUUACUCCUAACCAUCAAUGUCUUUACAUUUUUUUUAAACAAAUGAUAUUAUCUACACUAAGAGAAAAGGGGUGGCUGCUAGCAAUAAUGUGGUUCAAAUUCAUUGAGUAAAGAGAAAUAUCACUAAACCCUUAUAAGUAAAGAAAAAUACUAUUAAACUGUAAUAUUAAAUGAUUCUCUACAUUUCUUUUAUAUCAUUUUAUGUUCGCUUGGGACACCAUGCCAAGGGAGGUGCCCUACACCUAUGAGAAAUUUGAUCCCACCUAUAGACACUUGGCAACGUAUAAACCCUAAUAAUAGCUUGAAUUGAACACAUUGGUGUUCGAGCACUUGUCAAAUUUUGAGAGCAUGCAAAACUAGAGGCCACAAAAACAAAACAUCUUUUGAAUUAGCUAAAGGCGUUUUAAGCAUUAGUUAACCACCCACCUAAAAAUUCAUUGUUUUAAUAUAAAAGAAAGAACGUAUGAAACGAAAUGGAAAAAUCAUGUUGUUCUAGUAGGUUGAUUUGAUUGUUUUUGUUUAUGCAUGUGGCUUUUGCUAGUUUGGUGAGACAGUAACCGAAUAGAAUUUUGAUGUGACAAACCAGGGGGUGAAACAAUAGAACCAACUAGCUCCAUCAAAGUUCUAAACAUAGAAAUUUAAAUAGGAUAGGGAUCCUCUCCAGAUUUCUUCUUCCUAAUUUACCAAAUCAGGAAAUCCGUGUAAUUUAAAUUAGAUCCAAUAGCUGAAGUUAUUAUAACUUUUAAAUGGCCCUCUGUUUGUGGCCGUUGAAUCAAAUUUCAAUAGCUCAGAUUCUCUAAUUUGAUGGAUUAUGAGGAUUGAAUCUGGAGGUGAUCCCUUUCUAUUAAAAUAUACAUUCAAAAUUUUAAGAAAGUCUUAUCAACAAUGCAUCCAAAAUAUUAAAUUCCUUUAUUUGUGGGAAUUAAUUUGGUUAAUUUUGUGACGGUCUCUAAGUAGCUCAAGUAAGAUGGAGUGAGAUUUUUACAGUAUAGAGAGCAGCUCAACACUUUACAAGCGCAUGUAAUGUUCCUUAAUUCUCUUAUGGAAGAUUUACUAUGCCUCUCACGUGUGACAUCAUGUAAGUCUAACAAGUUGACAAUACAUAUUUGUUGAUGUGAGAGCAAAAGCAAGUAGGCCAUCGGGCUUAGUAUGCAGCUAACCUCCUUUAAUACUAUGAAAUAAGUUGAGAUUUUAUGCUUAACAAUCAGGAGUAGCACAACUUAUUAUAAAUAAGCAUUUUAACCAAAAUGGUUCCUGAAAUUAGCAUAAAUCCUCACUUUGGUCCUUGAGAUUUGAAAUCGAUAGAAUUUGUCCUUGAGUUUGUCUGUCAUCAAUCAUUUUGGUCAUCCUGUGAAAAAUUUAUGUUAAAUAAGAACCAAAAUGAAAAAAUGCUCUCAAUUUAAUAAACAAUGAGCCAAUAUAAUUUGACAAAAAUUGAGAGUUUUUUUUUUUUUUUUUUGUCAUUUCAUCAUUAUUUAACGGAGAUUUUUUCACAAAAUGACUAAAAUGAUUGAUGGUGAACAAACUCAAGAACCAAUUCUAUCGAUUUUAAAUCUCAAGGACUAAAGUGAGAAGUUAUGUCUAUCUCAGGUACUAUUUUAGCUAAAAAAAUCUUAUAAAUAGACGUAAAAUUCCUUAAUUUUUCAUUGUAAAUUCACGCUCUCAACAUUAUUAAUAGUAAUCAUCUAUGUUAUUUUAUAGAUUACUUUGAUAUUUUCGUCCCCACCAAUUAAAGUGUAAAGAAAAGGUUAUAUGUACGUACCUGGAUGUAUACCACCAUACUCAACUGAUUUACCGAAAAAGGUGGCAUAUCUAAUGUUUUCUUUUAAGAAUUUCUCAAAACGAAUUCUCAAAAACGUUGCUUUCAGUAUAAAAAAAUUCUCAUCCACAGUCCAAUAGAGUUCAGAAAAUAUUUAAAUCCAAAGAGAAGGUUUGGGGAUUUCUCAAAACAGACAGUUAGCUGUGAUCAUGAAUAUUCCAUAUGCAUCAUCAAAUAGCUAGCUACUACCUAAUCGUGUUGCCUCCAAUAUGACAAGGAAUGGACCGAAACCUGACUACGCACUAUUAGAGCAUCUCCAAUAGAAGAUGCAAAAUAUAUUGGAAUUGUUGCAGUUUUAUUGGAUUGAGAAUGUAAUUGUGUAAAGUAUAGUGUAUUUAAGAGUAUCUUUGUAUAUUCCCUUUAGUAGUUUAAUUCCUAUUAGAGUUGUAAUCCUAAUAGGGUAAGGAUUUAAUCUUCCCUACUACUAUAAAUAAAGGCAUAAUGGGGUGAUACAAUACACACCUCAGAAUCACAUCUCUCUCUUCUCUCUCUGUUGUCGCCGGCCUCUCCCUCAAUGUCCUAAAUACAGUUCAGUCAAAUAGGCAUACAACACGUUAUCAGCAUGCCCUUGCCAGAAGCUAAGGAACUGAAGGAUCGUGGAUGAGGAUUUCUUCUACAACAUCAAAGGCUUUCAAUGAUUUUCUGCUAAUCAGGUUUUUCUAAAAUAAAUUAAGAUAUUUGAAAGAAAAAAACCUUGAAGAAUGAAAACAUUCCCCAUAAUGCAUGAACCCCCUAUAUUUAUAUUUUCUUUCCAAUUAUAUAUACUGCAUAUGUGUUCAUAUAUUUUGUCAAUAUAUAUACUUGUUCAUGCAAUACACAAUUAUGCUAUGUGGAAUUUGUGAGUCAAAGCAUUGAAGUUAAUUUAAAAGCAAUUAGGGUUUUUAACCCUAGAUUUCGAGAAAAAAAUAAAAUAAAAAAUCUAGGAUUUUUGCGACAAAAGUCGCGGCUCACCGUCGCGCCACAGCCAGCACCACCGCUGCCAUACCCCGUCGUUAACAUGCAGCCUAGCCGCAUAGAGCACCUUGGGAUGGCAUCGUUUCGAUGCCAUGGACCACUAAGUAGCAGCCUCAUGGGCUUGCUACCUCUGCACAGAUAACCAGGCUUCGACCUGGGUUGGGUUUCCAUAAGCCUGAAGCCCCGAGCCCACUAGCAAGCCUGCAGCCUUGUUGGACCAUCCCUUGCAACCUAGCCCAACCUGCUAGCAAGCUUUUGUGCUUGUUGGGCUUGUCCUCUUGCCCUGGCCCUCCUACAGCAGAUUUCUUGGCUGAUGGGUUUGAACUGUCACAGCCUAACCACAAAGUCAGCUUGGGCUACGCUUUGCAGCGCCUCAAACCAAAGCCAGCUUCGGUUGGGCUUGCUAGCGCUUUGGCCCGAGACCAAAUCAAGUCAGCCUUUGCGGUUGAGCUUACCCAGGAACAGCCCAUGGCCUGCAGCCAUGAUUUGGGCUGCCCAGUUGCAACCCGUGGCCUCUCUAAGCCCUUUUAGGGCCUUGGCUUGCUCACGGCACCCAAGCCCACCGUCAUUGGGCUAUGGUUUUUUUAAUCCAAUGCUAUUUUUGUCAUUCUUUAUAAUUUAACCUGAAUGUUAUAAUUAUUUUUGCUUCUACAAUCGAUCUUGUAUGGUCUGAUCUAUUGAAUUCAUUAAAGUGACCAACAAUCCAUUAAUCUGAAAAUUAAUCCAAAAUUAUUAGCAUGUAGCUCACUUUUUGAAAAUUAACAAUUCAAUAAAUUAUUUCGUUUCUUUGAAUCGUUGAAUAUCUUUCGUAAUCCCGAAGCACUCACACUUGGGGUCCUGAAACAAUCCACAAAUUCACUACACUUUAUUGUAUAUUGUAUUAUGUGUUCUUGCAGGUAUCCUUAUAUAUGAACUGAACGUUCAUAACUAAAUAGAACCUGUAGUUUCGAAUUUAGUGUCCUUGAAACUCGAAAUUUUCAUUCAAAACUUACCACAUGAAACCUGUAGCUUUCAUGCUUAAAUUAAACCAAUACAUGUCCAUAGAACCCGAAUGUUCUACGAUAUAUGUCUAUGGAUUUCCAUAUGACUAACCAUGUUUUGUUGUAACCUCCGUUUUAGGGACAUGUCGAACUUGAACAAGCUCAAAUUCACCGCUCUGGAAGUCUCUGGAAAAAACUACCUGAAGUGGGUUCAAGACAUGAAACUCCAUCUUACUGCAAAAAGUCUUAGAGCUACUAUCGAGGAACCAAUAAAUGAUGAAGCCGUCGAUGAAACUCUGAAAGUUACUACUAUGAUCUUCAUUCGCAUACACACCCAUGAUGUACUACAGACCGAGUACCUCGCAGAGAAGGAUCGACGUACAUACCCUCUGGCUUGCUCUAGUCGAUCGCUCCGAUCACCGAAAAGACAUUUACUUGCUUGAAGCAAGACAUGAUUGGCAGCAUUUACGUUUCCAAGACUUUAAGUCAGUGAAUGAAUAUAACUCUGAAAUUUGUAGAAUUCGAUCACUACUUAAGUUCUGUAACGAGGACUUAACCGAACAUGAUCUCCUAGAAAAUACCUAUUUGACCUUCAAUGUCACCAAUAUUGUCUUGCAACAACAAUAUAGGGCAUAUAAGUUCGCCAAAGUUUUAGAUUUGAUAUUUAUUUUACUUCUCGCUAAAAGCAGAACCAGCUUUUAAUGAGAAAUCAUCAAGCUCGACUUACUAGCUCGAACGCUGCGUCUAAAGCACAUGCGACCAAUUCUAGCAGCCACAACUAACAAAAAUCUCAUCGUGGUCGUGGAAAUGGGCGGUAAGCCCCACCAUGGGCCCAAAGUCAACAAAUAGAGGCCCACCCAAGUGAGGAAAUUUGACCUAAAAUGUUAACCCCUUGCCUUUAAGGCCCCAAACUUCAAGAAUAAGGGAAAAACUACCAUUCAAUCGGCUUCCACUGAACUGGACAUGUGAUAUUAUUGUGGAUCAAAUGGUCAUUGGUCAUGCAUCUGCUAAGCUACCCCUGAGGCGAUUGCCAAGUAUCAUUCCCUCGUGAGGCUAACUUUGUGCUUGUAGAACUUCCCGAAGAUACUACUACCACCCUGGAGGUUUCAGAUUUUCAUGAGGCAUCCACUCCCAUGGAAGAAUAAAGUUUUAUUUUUCUAAGACAUGUUAGGCUGUUUUACACCCCUAGUGGCCGAACCCAUUAGGAGUGGCCAAACCCCCUACAUUUUAGGUUUAUGGUUUAAUUUUCAGACAAUUUUUCUAAGUCUUUGGAAUUAUUUGUUUGGUUUUGGUUUGUUUUGAACUAUGGAUAGUUAUUUUAUGUAUAUUAUUUCUCGACUUGAUUAAUUGAAUGAAUGGAAUUAUAUUUAUGCAUGUGACCAAUUUAAUUUAUUUAUUUAUAGGUAUGACUAGUGGAGAAGUUAGUUGUCUGGCUGAUAGUGCCACCAUGCACACCAUAUUGCGUGAGAAACACUAUUUUACUAACUCAUACCUAAAAAUGCACCUCUGAAAACAUUCUCAGGCCCAUCCAACCUGAUAGAAGGAUACAUAAAGGCUUGUAUUAUGUUGUCCAAUGGUACUGAAUUAACCAUUAAAAAGGCACUCUAUUAAAAGGCAUUAUUUGUAUCACUUCUUACGAAUAUGGCCAGAAGCGUACUCACAAUAAGCUGGAAAAUCUCCCGAGUGGGUUGUACAUAACAACCAUUCGUGUCAUCGAUACCCAUCAUGUGGCCAGCCUUAUAGCUGGGUUCCAGAGUAUUCUCCUGUUUUGGCAUGAUCAAAUGGGACACCCCGGAAGAGAUAUGAUGCACCGUAUCCUUAAAGUAUCACAAGGGCAUCACUUGAAAUCUUAUCCUGGUCAACCACUUUGCAAAGCAUGCUCUUUGGGGAAGUUGAACAUUCAACCUUCCCUUACAAAGAUUAUUCACGACCCCUCUAUGUUUCUUUAGAUGAUUCAAAGGGAUAUUUGUGGACCUAUCCAACCAACAUACGGACCAUGUUUGCUUAUUAUUCACAUGCAAUGCUGCAUUUGCGAAACUCCUAGCACAAAUUAAUAAGCUUAGGGUUCACCACCCUGAUUAUCCGAUUAAGUCGAUUCGACUAGAUAAUGCGGGAAAGUUUACGUCACAGACUUUUGACGAUUAUUGCAUGUUUAUUGGGAUUGAUGUUGAACAGCCUGUACCCCAUGUUCACACCCAAAAUGGCCUGGCAGAAGCUUUCAUAAAGCGCCUUCAAACGAUAGCUCGGACUUUGGUUAUGCGAACCAACUUGCCGGUAUCUGCUUGGGGCCAUGCAAUAUUGCACGCAACUAUAUUGGUCUAUCUGAGGCCCACCACUACCUAACCUCAUUCACCGUUACAGUUGGUUAUUGAAUAUGAGUCUGACGUCUCACAUUUAUGUGUGUUUGGGUGCGUAGUCUAUGUGCUAAUAGCACCGCCACUACGUACCAAAAUGAGUCCUCAAAGAAAAAUGGGAAUCUAUGUCGGUUAUGAUUUGCCAUCCACUAUUUGCUACUUAGAACCCUUGACAGGAGAUUUAUUUACCGCACAUUUUGCGGAUUGUCACAUCGAUGAGACAGUCUUCUCGUCGUUAGGAGGAGAUAAGAUCACUAAAGUUCUUGUAGAACGCCGCGAAUUGUCGUGGAUUACUCACAUUAUGUCUCAUUUGGAUCCCUACACCCCUCAGUCUGAAAUUGAAGUGCGAUGUAUACUAGAUCUUCAGAGCAUCACCCAAAGCAUGCCGGAUGCUUUUACUAAUCUAGCAAAGGUGACGAAAUCACAUAUACCCGCUGCCAAGGUAUAAAAUAUCGAUGAUAUCGGAAAUAUCGGUAGUCCAAAAAUACGGAAAUAUUGAUGGAAAUAUCGGGAUAUUAUCAAUAUCAAUAAAAUUGAAUAAAAACCACGGAAAUCGUAAGAAAAACUUGGAAAUUUUUAUUGAAACUUUGGAGAAUGUUUAUUUAGUCAAUUAUCUAUUAGUUUAUCAAAAAAAAUUAGAAUGAAAUGCAUUACAUGAUGGAUUUAACUGAUUUAAGUUGAUUAUACAGCGAGCUGGCAAACACUGUGAGUAUAGAAAAUAUGUAGUAAUUAAUGAAAAAAAUUAAACACACCAUAAUCAUUUAUAUAUAAUGAUUUACUACAAUAUUUUACAUUUUAUACAUUGCAUGGUAAGAUACAUGAGUGAUUUAGUACCACAUAAAGUUCCUAUGAGGUUCAAAUUUUUCACUAUCUUCAUCAUCUCUAUGUGUAGAGUAAGUUUAUUGUGAAGAGUAUUCAUCAAAUGAUAAAUCCUCAAAAUAGUUUUGCAUGUAAUUGUUAACAUGUCACUCAUAUAAAUUAAUAAAUAUAAAUAUUUUAGCAUAUUAUCACUAAAACAUAAGUGAUAUAUCGUGGUUAAGGUGUUGGAGGAGUAAAAUGGGAGGGGUUCAAAAUCCCCUUUGUGUUUUUUUUCCUCCUUUUUUGCCCUUUUUUCUUCUUUUUCCUUUAAACUUUAAAAGAUCACACAAAAAAUCAAUGAUUCAUAUCAUUGUACAAGACUACAAGAUGAGAAUGAACAUCUCGAGGACAAUAUGAAAAUAUUCAAAAUAGAAAGUUUCAAGUGGUGUAUUGCCCUAAUGAAGAAGAGUUGUAUUCGAAUUAAAAUAAGGUUGUGGUAUCGACACACCUAUUUUUUACACACUACACUCAAUUUUCAAUUGAUCGGGAUCAAAUGAAAUUAAACAAGAUCUAUGAAAAAAUUAACAAGAAUAUAUGCAAGGUACAAAGUGUGUGUGGAAAACGCUACAUUUUAAAAAAUAAUCUCACUAUGUGGAGUAAACAAAAUAAUAACAAAUAGAAGAAUAAAAAAAUAUGUCACCAUUUCUUUCUUCCCUACCCUGCACGUGAGGUCAGAAGGAUGAUUUUAAAAUCUGCCACCUUCUUUUCGUCCUUCAUAAUAUCCCCCUCCCCAUUUCUCUUUCCCCAUCGCCCGUCCAAGCCUCUCCUCUCCGCUCUCUCUCUCUAAAAACCACAACUUUUUCUUCCUUUCUCUCUCUAGAAAAACCACACCCUCCAUUUUUUCUUUCUUUCCAUCUAUCUAUAUCUCUGAAAGAAAAAAAAAACAGAAGAAAAAAAAAGGGAGGAAGAGAGAGAUCGAUCGAUCGAUCAGAAUCUGAGUGAAAAAAAUGGCACAGAUAGCCGAGAAGGAAGAGACGGAGUUCAAGGUCCCCGAAACUCUAACGCACUGCAUCAACAACUGCGCGUCACCGGUAAUCCCUCCACCAACAACUUGUGCAAAAGUGCUUCAACGCCGCCACCACCUCAUCGUCGUUUUCGUCCAUGGCGAUUUUAAAGUUUUCUGCGGAGAAAAGUCCGAGAUCUACCUCAUCCUUCAGCUUCGAGGCCCCGACCGAGACCUUCCGGAAGACGACGACGUCGGAGAUCGCGAGAUCAGAUGAAUUGCUGAAUAGGCGCGUGGUCAAUCGGUGCUCCGAAUGCCAGAGAAAGGUCGGGUUGAUCGGAUUUCAGUUUCAUCUCGCGAUAUUAUCGAUAAUAUCGAUAAUAUCACGAUAUAUUUCCCAAAUAAUGUAUUAAAAUGUUGAAAAUAUCGUUUCUGAUAUUAUCGCGAUAAUAUCGACGAAAAUAUAGAUAUAUUGACGAUAAUUAAGUGGAUACGUAUGAAAAUAUCGUCUUCUAAAAAAAAUGAUAUUAUCAGCGAAAUAUCACCGAUAAUAUCGAUAUUUUGGUCAUUGCCCGCUGCAAAUGCACCUGUAAGGAUGGACGUACUUAACGUACGUCGUAACAUUGCCUUGGAAGGCCGAAUCGUCCCCGAAGGUAAGGCAGCCGCACCUCCCACAUGGCAGGUACACUAUUGGCUAACCAAUCACCUGCUCCUACUCUGAAGUGUGGCAAGCCCCAUGGUUCUAAGGAUUCACAACCCCAAAAAAGGAAAACUGCACAAACUAAUGACCCUAGUCUGAAUCUGACCAUUGCUUACUCAUCUGUUCCAACGUAUGAGGUUAUUCAAGAUUAUGGUGAUGUCUUAAAUGAGACAUACCAGUCUCCUAAGAAUCGCGAGAUUUCGAUCCAUUACGCAGUAUUAGAUGAGGUUUGGAAUCGGAAUGAGAUGAUUGUCAAUGAUGCAUUCACGUAUACCGUUGCUUUCAACAUCAUGCUUAGCGAUGACAUUGAACCAUGUUCCGUUGAUGAAUGUCGACAUAGAACAGAUUGGUCAAACUAGAAACAAGCAAUCCAGGUCAAACUCAAUUCGCUCGCAAAAUGUAAGGUGUUUGGACAUGUACCUCUUACUCUACCACAUGUGAAGCCUAUGGGCUAUGAGUGGGUUUUCGUAAGGAAACAUAAUGAGAAGAAUGAAUUAGUGUGAUACAAAGCACGCCUCGUAGCUCAAGGCUUCUCUCAACUCCCUGGAUUGAUUACAAUGAGACGUUUCCAAAAAAAACUGAAUAUGUAGCUUAUGGACGUGGUAACCGCGUAUCUCUAUAGGGAUCUAGAUACGAAAAUGUACAUGAAAGUUCCAAAAGGACUUCCAUUAAAUGGUUCAAAUAGUUCUAGACCAUGGAACACUCUCUCAAUUAGAUUGGGGAGGUCACUCUACAAAUUGAAACAAUCCGGGCGGAUGUGGUAUAACUGUCUGAGUGAAUAUUUGACAAGUCAAGGUUAUGUGAACAAUGAACUAUGCCCAUGCGUGUUCAUCAAGAAGUUAUAUUCCGGAUUUGUGUUCAUUGCAGUUUAUGUCGACAACAUAAACCUCAUCGAAACUCUCAUAGAGCUUGAGGUAAUUGCCGCUCACUUGAAAUCAAAAUUUGAGAUGAAAGAUCUUGAGAAAUCACGAUAUUGUCUCAGCGUGGAGAUCGAGCAUUGUUCGGAUGAAAUCCUAAUACAUCAAUCGAACUACACCGAGAAAGUGUUGUGACGUUUUAAUAAAGAUAAAGCAAAGCCUUCAAGUACUCCUAUGGUUGUUCAGACUCUAGAUGCAAAACAAGAUCCAUUCCAUCCCAACGAGGAUAAGGAAGAGAUUUUGGAGCCUGAAGUUCUAUACCUAAGUGCAAUCGGUGCUUUAUUGUACUUGGAUCAAUGCACCAAACCCGAUAUCUCCUUCCUUGUUAAUCUUUUGGCUAGAUACGACAAUGCGCCUAUACGCAGACAUUGGAAUAGUGUUAAAGACAUUUUCCGUUACCUCAAGGGUACGACGGAUUUAGGCUUAUUCUACACCCACGAAUCCUUGAGAUGAGUCGCCGCCCCCUCGAUCCUCGAGUUGAUUCUUGCCUCGUUGAUUACGCAAAUACUAGUUAUCUGUCUAACCCACAUAGGGCACGUUCUCAGAUGGGCUAUGGCUUUACCGUUGGAGAUACCACUGUAUCUUGAAAGUUUACCAAGUAAACACUAGUUGCAAUUCUUUGAACCAGCUGAGAUUCUCACUUUGCAUGAAUCAUCGCAUGAGUGCUUUUGGUUGAGAACAGUCAUGGAACAUAUUCGAAGCAUUAGUGGUCUUACUUCCGUCAUUGACUUUUCUACGAUGAUCUUUGAAGACAAUGCAGCAUGUAUCGAGCAAUUAAAGAAGGGAUACAUUAAGGGAGACAACACCAAGCACAUAUCGCCGAAGUUCUUUUAUUCUCACCAGCAACAACAACAUCAGAACAUUGAAGUCAAGCAAAUCUGUUCCCAAGACAACUUGGCUGAUCUCUUCACCAAGUCAUUGCCUAAGUAUACUUUUCGUAAGCUCGUCCAAGGAAUCAGUAGCGUAAAUUAUCUGGGUUGAAUUGCUUGUAGUUCUUUUAUUUGGAAGUUAUGUUUAACUCAAGGGGAGUAUUCUAAAGCAUGAUCACUUGAUCUUAAUGUACUAUUUUUCCUACGAUUAGGAGCAUUUUUCCCACUAUGUUUUUGCUACCUAACGAGAUUUCAACAAGGCACCCAUCCUGGGAUGAUCAUACUCCAUUGAGUUCACUACUUUCAUCCUGUUUUAUGUUUGUUUUAAGACAUUUUGCAUACUUCUCACUUUUCUCCUUAGUGUAUGAGUUUUCACCUGGCUUAGGUUUUAUCAUAGAGAGGUUUUGUAAGUUUUACUACCAAUGCAUACUUUCUUUUAAAUUUGAGACUCGCAUUCACCCGUUGUGUCAAUGACUUUAUCAAUUGUUCUACCUUAUCUACUGAAGAUCUGAUGCAAUGUUUUGUUUGAGUAUUUACACACUCAAAGGGGAGUGUUGCAAUUCUAUUGGAUUAGGAUUGUGAUUGUGUAAAUCCUAGUGUAUCUAGGAGUAUCUUUGUAUAUUCCCUUUAGUAGUUUAAUUCCUAUUAAAAUUGUAAUACUAAUAGCGUAAGGAUUUAACAUUUCCUACUACUAUAAAUAAAGGCACAAUAGGGUGAUACAACACACACCUCAUAAUUACAUCUCUCUUUUCUCUCUGUUGCCGCCGGCCCCUCUCCCUUUCUGUCCUAAAUACAGUUUAGUCAAAUAGGCCUACAACAUAAAUGAGUAUUUUUCAUUUUUCUUUUUGUUGACAAAUUCUUCGAAUACGGAAUAUAAAUGAUUCAUUUUUGCAGGAAUAUGUAAAUAAAAAUUUAAAUUUACAUUCUUAUUUACAUCUUUUGGUGAUGGGUCCGACUAAUCAAAUAAAGAAUUUAAAUGGGAUAUCAAAUUUACAUCUCUCAAUAGGGAAGAACGUUCAUUUACAUCUGCCAAAAAUAUAAAAUAAGAUGUAAACAUGGUUCUUACCUCUCAAGUUUACAUUUUUUCAUUAGAGAUGCAGGAGAUGCAAAAUACAUUGGAAUGAGUAUUUUUCAUUUAUUUUUUUGUUGACAAAUUCUUCGAACACGGAAUAUAAUGAUUCAUUGUCCUGGGAAUAUGUAAAUAAAAAUCCAAAUUUACAUUCUUUUUUACAUCUUUAGGUGAUGGGUCCGACUAAUCAAGUAGGGAAUUUAAUGAGAUAUCAAAUUUACAUCUCUCAUUAUUAGGGAAGAACUUUCAUUUACAUUUGCCGAAAAUUUAAAAUAAGAUGUAAACAUGAUUCUUACCUCAAGUUCACAUUUUUUUUCAUUAGAAAUGCUCUUAACUCUUGUGAGAAGAAAAAAAAAUCGGACACCAAUCUGAAAAAUAGUAAGACGAAACACAUCACUAAACAUUUUUUGCCAUUUAUAUUAGUUUUUGAAUCGAGAAUUUGAAAAGAAAUUUACCAAAAUUUGGUAUCCCAUAUCUUAAAAAACUGAGUGGAUUAGUGUAUUGUGACUCGUGAUUAGUAUUAAUCAAAUAAAUAAGAGUAUCAAAUAGAUACGGAAGGACAUGGAUCCUCUCUAGAUCCAAUUGUCCUAAUUCUAAGAAUCAAUGACUCCGGACCAUUGAAAUUUGAUCCAACGGUUAAAGUUAUUAUAACUUUUAGAAUGUGUCCCUAUUUAUAAUCGUUGAAUUAAAUUUCAAUGGUUUAGAUUUAUUGAGCCCUAGAAUUAAGAUAAUUGGAUCCGGAGAUGAUCCAUGUGCGAUACGGAACGCUCCAAAGGGUGGGCAAUAAUGUUGACAUGGAUGGCACAAAAUGGUGGUGACUAGAAUGCUGUGCGAUAUGGGAAUUAUUGGAGGAGACGUUUGGCUCAGUUUUUACAAGAUAAGUUCUGUGACGUGUUUAGUGCAAAUUUGACAUGACUGAUUUGAUAUUGCAUACGGUUGUGCUUUCAGACUUGAUAUAUCUUUAGCGAUCUAAUUGCUUUGUUAAGCUCUAAGAUUGGAGGAGAACGUUUGAAAAUCUCAAUCGAAUCCUUUUGGUCUGUGAUGUUUAUAUUAGAAAUUUUAAUCAAAUUAAUUUAUGGAGAGUCAUUAUUUGACAAGAAAUAUUUGCAUCUCUUAUCUCCUUUUUUUUCCUUUUUGUCCGGACAUUUGUAGCCAUUUGUACAUAUCAUCUCAAUCUUUUAUUGUGUACCUUUUCUUCGUUGUGUUUAGAUAUUAUUCAUGCAAUCAUGAUGAACAAACAGUUUCCCACCAAAUACGAAAAUACUUCAUAAAUCCUCCAGUUUCCCACCAACAAUGAGGGUGUAAUGCACCUUGACAAAAAAAUGCAUCAAACGAUAACCUUAAUGCAUAAGCGAAUUGAAAUUCACCAAAAAAAAAAGAGAAAUUAGGUUCAUAUUCUUCCUACUCCCUUAAUUAAAAUCUUAUUCAUUUUCAAUUUUUGAUCAAGAUCCUUAGGUAUUAAUAACAUUAUUAAUUAUUUGAAUAAUAAAAUAUUUUUAUUUUUAAACAUAUUCAUUUAGUGUUAAAAAUGUUACAAUUAGUAUAUUUAUAUUUAUGGCUAAAUUUUUUAUCAUAUAUUUUUAUUUUUAGUUUGUACCAAUUUUUUUUUCAUUUUUAAUUUGUACCCAUAUAUUAGUUUCUUUUUGUGCCCAUAUUUUUUAAUGUUUUAUUUGUGUUUGUAUCCAUGUGUAUACUGUCACGUGACAUUGUAUAUUUAACCAAUAAUAUAAAAAUUAAAUAUAGUAUAUUUAUGUUUUAUGCCUAAACUUUGUAUCAUAUAUUUAUAUUUUAGUUUGUACCCACUUUUAAUUUGCAACAUUUUUUUUAAUUUGUAGUAUUUUCUUUUUAGUUUUAUUUUGUACCAAUGUAUUAAUUUCUUUUAGCGCCUAUAUUUUUUAAAAAUUCAUUUGUACUCAUAAUUUUUUUAAUAUUUUAUAUGUACCCUAAUUUAUUUAUAAUGUACCCAUUCUUCUUUAUUAAUGUAUCACUUAGUUAUAUGUGAAAUAUACCAAUUUUUUUAACACUAUGGAUACAUUCUUUUGCCAUUUCUUAUUUCUUAUUUUUACAUAGUUUUUAUCCAUUUAUUCAAUCAAAAUGCUUAACUCCGCCUGUGUAAAUUUAUUUUACAUUGCCGGUCCCAAGCCCGGAUAAAGAAGGAGGGGGAAGGCGUCAAGUAGUCGACAGCCGGCACUCCUAGUUUACGUCGAAUCCUUAUGAAAAUGAAUCCAGAACGAAAUCGCGCUAAAGUUAGGGCGUCACCCGUAAGUGGCGCACUGUGUGGCCCGAGCACAGUGAUAAGUGAGUAAGGGUCGUUGUAUCUCCAUCGGCACCCGGAUGCAGUGUUAAAUGAGCAAGGGGGCCAUAGAAACUUCUUUUCGAACGACUUCACUCAAAGUUGUUUGGGAGCAUAUGCUCCUAUCAACUUUACACAGGACACACAAAAAAAGUAUUUUGAUCCUAUUAGACGGGGGAGGUUGAAGAAGCUAGGACAGAAGGGUAGAGUUCAAGAUAGUAGAAUGCAUUUAGGAACCCUAACGGGAAAAUCUAUGGAAGUAGUGGAAGUUAUGGUGAGGAGAAGGAUAAAUAUUAUGUGCCUACAAGAAACUAAGUGGGUUGGUCUUAAGGCAAAGGAUCUAGAAAACUCAAGGUUUAAACUCUGGUAUUCGGGCACAAAUAGAACGAGAAACGGUGUUGGCAUCAUCGUGGACAAGACCUUGACACAAGAUGUUGUAGAUGUCAAGAGGGUAGGAGAUAGAAUCAUGGCAAUCAAGAUUAUAAUAGGACAAGAACUCAUCAAUGUGAUUAGUGCGUACACACCUCAAGUAGGGUUGGAUACGAGUUCGAAGGAGAAAUUUUGGGAAGACCUUGGAGACUUGGUGCAAGGAAUUGCUCAGACGGAGAAGUUAUUUAUAGGAGGAGAUUUAAAUGGACACAUGGGCAAGGAGACAGACAACUAUGGAGGUUUUCAUGGUGGCCAUGGUUUUGGGGAGAGAAACGAGGAUGGGGAAGCUAUCUUGGAUUUUGCGAUGGCAUAUGAUCUAUUCUUAGCCAACACCUUCUUUAAGAAGAAAGAAGAACAUGUGAUCACCUACAAGAGUGGGUCGUCAAAAACACAAAUAGAUUUUCUUCUAAUGAGGAAAGGGAAUCGUAUAACUUGUAAGGAUUGCAAAGCUAUACAGGGAGAGAGUUUGGCUAAUCAACAUUGCUUGUUGGUGAUGGAUGUACAUAUCAAAAGAGUGAGAAAAAAGAACAAGAUUUGGAAGUGCCCAAGGACUAGAUGGUGGAAUCUAAAAGGUGAAAAACAAGCCAUUUUCAAAGAGAAAGUAAUCACCCAGUGUGUGUGGGAUAGAGAGGGGGAAGCUAGCCAAAGGUGGGAUUCCAUGGCUAGUUGUAUCCGAAAAAUAGCAAAAGAGGUAUUAGGAGAGUCCAAGGGCUUUGCUCCACACCAAAAGAAAUCUUGGUGGUGGAAUGAGGAGGUACAAACAAAGGUGAAGGCUAAGAAGGAAUGUUGUAAAGCCUAAUACAAGGAUAGGACCGAUGAAAAUGGUGAAAGGUAUAGAAGAGCGAAGCAAGAGGCGAAAAAAGCUUUGAGAGAAGCUAAGUUAAUGGCUUAUGACGAUAUGUAUAAACGACUAGAUACCAAAGAAUGAGAGUUGGAUAUCUAUAAACUAGCUAGAGCAAGGGAAAAGAAGACAAUGGACCUAAACCAAGUGAGGUGCAUCAAAAAUGAGGAUGGAAAGGUUCUUCCUACAGAGAACGCGGUCAAAGACAGAUGGAGAGGUUAUUUUCAUAAUCUUUUCAAUGAAAGACAUGAAAAGAGUACUUUUUUAGGGGAGUUGAGUAACUCAGAAGAGUGUAGAAACUACUCAUUUUAUCGUCGAAUCAGGAAGGAAGAAGUGGUUGUAGCUUUGAAGAAGAUGAAGCAUAGAAAAGCAGUGGGCCCAGAUGAUAUAUCGAUCGAAGUGUGGAAAGUCUUAGGAGAGACAGGUAUAGCAUGGCUCACUGACCUUUUCAAUAGGAUUUUGAAAAUGAAGAAGAUGCCAAAUGAGUGGCGAAAGAGCACUUUGGUGCCUAUCUACAAGAAUAAGGGUGACGUACAAAAUUGCAUGAACUAUAGGGGUAUUAAGCUAAUGAGUCAUACAAUGAAGCUCUGGGAGAGAGUCAUUGAGUAUAGAUUGAGGCAAGAGACACGGGUUUCGGACAACCAAUUCAGGUUCAUGCCAAAACGCUCAACCAUGGAGGCAAUCUAUCUCUUACGAAAAUUGAUGGAAAGAUAUAGAGAGGGGAAAAAGGAUUUAUACAUGGUCUUUAAAAAUUUGGAAAAAGCUUAUGAUAGGGUCCCUAGAGACAUUCUCUGGAGGAUUUUGGAGAAGAAAUGAGUACGAGUAGCAUAUAUCCAAGCUAUAAAGGAUAUGUAUUAAGGAGUAAAAACUGCCGUAAGAACUCAUGAAGGACAAACCGAAAGCUUCCCCAUAACUGUAGGAUUACAUCAAGGCUCAUUCUUAAGUCCUUACCUUUUUGCGUUGGUAAUGGAUGAGUUAACAGGACAUAUUCAAGAUGAUAUUCCUUUCUGUAUGCUUUUCGCAGACGAUAUAGUAUUGAUAGAUGAAACUCAUGAAGGGGUAAAUGUGAAGCUUAACCUUUGGAGAUAAGUGUUGGAAUCUAAAGGUCUUCGCCUAAGCCAAUCGAAGACAGAAUAUAUGGAGUGCAAGUUCAGUGCAAAUGGAGGCCAAAAUGAGUUAGGGGUGAGGAUCGGAGAUUAGAAAAUACCAAAGAGUGACUGCUUUCUCUACCUAGGAUCUAUCUUGCAAAAGAACGAAUAAUUAGAUGAAGAUCUCAACCAUAGAAUACAAGUUGGAUAAAUGAAGUGGAAUAGUGCAUCCGGCGUGUUGUGUGACUGUUGUAUGCCACUGAAGCUCAAGGAAAAAUUUUAUAGGACGGCAAUAAGGCCGGCGAUGCUGUAUGGAACAGAAUGUUGGGCGGUGAAGCAUCAACACGUACACAAAAUAGGUGUAGCGGAGAUGAGGAUGCUUCGUUGGAUGUGUGGGCACACGAGAAAGGAUAAGAUUAGGAAUGAGGAUAUCCGAGGUAAAGUAUGAGUAGCCGAAAUUGUAGGAAAGCUGAGAGAAAAUCGGUUACGGUGGUUUGGACAUGUGCAAAAAAAGGCCUACUAACGCUCCGGUUAGAAGAUGCGACUACGAGAUAGAGGUUCAAGGCCGAAGGGGUAGAGGAAGACCCGGGAAAACUUUGGAAGAGACUCUAAGAAAAGACUUAGAGUAUUUGGAUCUAACGGAAGAUAUAACAUAGGACCGAGCACAAUGGCGUUCUAAGAUUCAUAUAGCUGACCCCACUCAGUGACUUGGAUUUUUCAAGUCUCCAACGGAGAAAUUUUCCUCACUCGAGAAAUUAAGGGAACACUACCUCAACCUACAUGCUUCACUCACAAAGCUUCAACAUACAAGCUUCAACAAAAGAAAAAUUCAAAAAACUUAGUGAAGAAACUUUGGUGUAUUUAACACAAUACGUUGAAAUGAAGCAAAGCUUAUUUAUUGAUAUCUCCGAUAAGUUACAAAUAUGUACAUAUACAUGAGUCAAAAUAAACAAACAAGAGGGGGCCUUCACAAAGGUUGCUUAGGAGAAGUCUCAGCAGUCGGUAGAGCUCCAGAAAGAGAAGGCACUGGAGAGUGAUCACUCGGAGCCUCAGUACUGGAUAGAACCCUAGAAGGAAGAGGCAUCGGAGGCUGAUCAUUUAGAGUUUCAUUACGCGAUAUAGCCCCAGAAGACAAGGCAAUAAAUGCCUUUGGAACAAACCCACAAACCUCUGAUGAUCAAGUAAAAUCUGACCAUCAGAUUCCUUCAUCUGGUCAAGCUUCAUCUUCAUGUUUGUAGCAUAGUCAUGUGCGAGCCUGUGCAACUGUUUAUUCUCAUGCUUGAGCCCUCUAAUCUCCUGCUUGAGACUCAUCACUUCAGCCACCAAUGAUUCAACUUGGCGGGUUCGAGCAAAUAGGCGUUAGGCCAUAUUCGACACAGAACCUGCACACUGAACACUGAGAGCCAGAGAAUCCUUAACAGCCAACUCAUCAGACCGUUUGGAAAGAAGUCUGUUAUCUUUGGGAGUGAGAAUGUUCCUGGCCACCACCGCAGCGGUCAUAUCAUUCUUCAUCACGGAAUCCCUAACGGUAAGAGAACCAGUAGGGGACAAGAAGGAUGGGCGCCAUAUGUUGUCUGGAGAAGGCGUGGCUACCUCUUCACCAAGGUUCAAGUCAAAACGACGGUCGGAAGAGCCAGACAUUUUCAAAUGUGUUGAAGAGAGAAGAGGUUGGACAAAUCAAGAUCUUAGAAGUGCAAGAAGGGAGCUUCUACUGGUGGAGAUUCAAGUGUGAUUUGGAACUUAAUGCUAGCCUCUAUAAAAAUCUGCACUCGACGGAGCUUCAGAAAUCGAAGAGCCGUCUGCUCAGAAAUCGAAUAGGCAUUUGCUUUCUCAAAAGAUGGGCUGCUCAGAGACCACGAGGGCCGAUCUCAGAGAUCGAAGAGGCAUUUGCUUUCUCAAAAGUUGGGCUGCUCAAAGACCACGAGGGUCGAUCUCAAAAAUCGAAUAGGCGCUUGCUUUCUCAGCCUUGUCAGCACCUGUCACAUGCACACUCAGCUUUGCGGAAAUUACGGGCAAUCUGUCGAAGAUUUCUGGUGAAGUAGAAAACACGUGAAUCUUACUGUUCAAUCAUCCACUUUCCACACGCAACAUCAGAUCAUGGGUACCACCGAUAACUUUGCCAAAGAUCUCUGACAAAGUUUAGACACGUGAAGCUUGCAGCUCCCACUACAUCGCUAUGACCAAGAUGGGUAACGAAUAGCAAAGAAACAACACUAACAAAGUUUAGACACAUAAAUUUUGAAGGUUUAGCUACCAUAUUAUUACCCACAAGGGUAAAGGAACAGCACCACUGCUGGAUAAUUGGAAAUUCCCUGUGUGUCAACCUCUGUGCUCCGUGGCAAGGUAGACUAGCAAAAAUGCCCACCCUUUACUCACAUUCGAGAAAACACUCCCAACAAGAUUGCUUGCUCCAAAAUCGAAGAGGCACCGCCCUCUGAAUCUCGAGAGCCAGACUCCCAACAUGAUUACUUUCUCAAAAAUCGAAGAAGCACCGUUCUCCGAAUCUCGAAAGCCAGAUCCCCGAUAGGAUCGCUUGUUCGAAAAUCGAAGAGGCAUCGUUUUCUCAACUUCAAGAGCCAGAUCUCCUUGGAUAAAGCUUGUCUGUAAUCUUCACACGCAACAUCAGCUUUCCAGAUACCACAGACCACUUUUUCAAAGUGCUCUAACAGAGUUAAAACACGUGAAGAUGACAGCUCCCACUACAGUGCUAUGACCAAGAAGGGUAAAGGAAUAACAUUACUACUUGUUGUUAAGGAGACUCCUAUAUAUGUCGACCUCCAUCCUCAACGGACAGGCAGACCUGCAAAAAUGCUCAACCCCUCCUCAUAUCUGAGAGGGCACCCCCAACGAAGCAUACUCAGCUUUCCCCCCCCCCCCCCCGAUAAUACCUCUGCAAACAAGCUACACCAGAGCAAGAAUAUCUCAUAUCAUCAGGGUUAAAAGCAAGAGUAUCUCAUAUCAUGCUUUUUUCCUGUCUUUUCCUUUAGCCUUGUUCUUACCUGCAAGACAAAGAGAAAAAGAGCAAUCAAUCAACACUUGGAAUCAAGCUUCCAGUCAGGAACUGACUGCCUGGAACCCCUUACCACAUCUGCCUGAAGAACAGAUAGGGCAAAUGAGAAGGAUACAAGGAAGCAUGUGGAGACAAACGUAAUAGAACACGUGCCGAUACUUCCAGUACUUUGUCAACAGCAAAAGUAUCCCAUAUCAGCAGGAUCGAACGUACUCUAGAUUUGAUGAACUUGUUUUGACCCUCAAAUUCUUCAGUCGGCCUUAUACUUUGGAGGUAACUAGAAAACCCUCUAGCCCAGUUCAAGAAUAAGCCUGUGGAAAGUUACUUCUUCAAAAGAAAAAGUAUCUUAUAUCAUUUUCUUCUCUUUAUCCUUCAUGCUGCCUGCAAAAUAUAGAAUGAGAACAAUCAGCCGGAACUCGAAAUCAAACUUUUGAUCUGGGACUAAUUGCUUGGAGCUCUGAUUGCUUACCUUGUCUAUCACCUCUUUCAGCAGAUGCCCUAGCUCGGCGACUUGGGGGACUCAUACUACAUGGUUUGUAUCGCGCUUGACCAAGCCUGAAACUACAAGUAAGCUUCAAGUGAAAUUGAUACAUUACCUUGUACAUCUCCACCAGUUAAAGAUACCACCCCUGGACGGAGGAAGAGUACUUCCAAAGAAGAUGCCACAUCUACCUAUGAGACAGAUAAGGCAAGUGAAGACGAUACCAUACUUCGGUACUUAGAAGUUUCGUGAUUACUCAGCGGCUUGGAUCUUGCAAGUCCCCAACCAAGGAGCUUCCCCUUCAACCAGGAGGCCAAUCACAGAGCGACACGUGUCGACAUCAGAAGCCAAUCAUAGCGCAACACGUGUCAACAUUGGAAGUCAAUCACAACACGACACGUGUCAAUGUCAGAACAAGGCUAGAAACUCUCUUCUAUAAAAUGAGAUCAUUAUCCCAAAAUAUUUCCUAAUGCCAUUUGUACUAAAUCAUUCACUUAUACCCAUUAAAGGAGAGCUUGAACCUAUGUACUUGUGUAAACCCUUCACAAUUAAUGAGAACUCCUCUACUCCGUGGACGUAGCCAAUCUGGGUGAACCACGAACAUCUUGUGUUUGCUCUCCUGUCUCUAUCAUUUUACAUACUUAUCCACACUAAUGACCGGAGCAAUCUAGCGAAGGUCACAAACUUAAUACUUUCUGUUGUACCAAAGUCCUCACUGAUUUUGUGCAUCAACAAUCCUUAAGUCCUUACCUUUUUACAUUGGUAAUGGAUGAGUUAACAGGACAUAUUCAAGAUGUUAUUCCUUGGUGUAUGAUUUUCGCAGACGAUAUAGGGUUGAUAGAUAAAACUCAGGAAGGGGUAAAUGCGAAGCUUAACCUUUGGAGAGAAGUGUUGGAAUCUAAAGGUCUUCGCCUAAGCCAAUCAAAGACAGAAUAUAUGGAAUACAAGCGGGAUGGAUGAAGUGGAAGAGUGCAUCUGGCAUGUUGUGUGACCGUCGUAUGCCACUGAAGCUCAAGGGAAAAUUUUAUAGGACGGCAAUAAAGUCGACGAUGUUGUAUGGCAUAGAAUGUUGGGCGGUGAAGCAUCAACACGUACACAAAAUAGGUGUAGCGAAGAUGAGGAUGCUUCGUUGGAGGUGUGGGCUCACGAGAAAGGAUAUGAUUAAGAAUGAGUGGGUUGGACAUGUGCAAAGAAGGCCUACUGACUCUCCAGUUCGAAGAUGUGACUACGGGACAGAGGUUCAGGGCCGAAGGGGUAGAGAAAGACCUAGGAAAACUUUGGAAGAGACCCUAAGAAAAGACUUAGAGUACUUGGAUCUAACGGAGGACAUGACACAAAACCAAGCGUAAUGACGUUCUAGGAUUCACAUAGCCGACCCCACUUAGUGGGAAAAGGCUUUGUUAUUGUUGUUGUUGUAUUCAAUCAAAAUGCUUGAAUUUUUUUUAUUGUAACUGUUUCUAAUAGUAUUAUAAUGAGGGAUUUUAAAUUUAUAGGAUUAUAAAUCUCAUAAAAUAUCAAACAGUUAAUGUCAAAACUAUAAAAAUAGAAAUUUUAAUUGUAAUAUAAUGAAGUGUACAAAGUCAAGGGACUUUGAUCUAACUUUGAAUACCAUUAAGGUUUUAGUCAAAGAAUGUUAAGGAUUAGGGACCGCAUUCAAAGUAUCUCAAAAAAAUACUUCAUAUAUUGAUUGAAUAAUAAGAAAGAUAACUAAACCCUAUCACCCUAAUGGUUGCUCAUAUAAUGUCCCUUGGCCCUAGACUUUUUAAGAGUACAAAUAGGAAACAAAUUAAGAAAAUAACAAUAUACCAAAAUAUAUAUUAUAAAAUCUUAAAAUGUUGAUAAAAUGUAGUAAAAGACGAAAUUUGGCCUAAAAUGCCCAUAUGUCACAACAAAGCGGUUUGUUGGACUCAUGUUGUCAUUUUCUUCGAAAUGGCGAGUCAUGGGUCCAAAUUGAACACUUGGACACAAGUUUGCAAAACUUGAAUUUUACCACCAAACUUGCACCUUUCAAGUUGAUUUUCGAUUCACUCGUAUCAAUCACCUACACAAAACUUCUAUUGUAGAUGUAAUUUGAGAUCCACAUGCAUACAUUAUAACAACUAUUAAUCUCAUGGAGACAACGUAUCAUAACACAUCUCUUAUUGUACAUGAUUAUAAAAUACAUCACCGUAUAUGGUAAACCAUUUAUAGAAAUCUGAUCAGAUUGUAUUUGGCCAGCCACAACUCAGUUUUAGCGUUUCCUUCCUUGAUUCUCCUUUUAUAUGCAUUACUUUUUAUUUUUCAACAUUGUCAUUGGAUGGUUAUAGUCCAAUAUGGGGCAUGACUUGUGUUACAAAUGGCUGGCCAUAAUUCCAUGCUUUUGGGAUGAAGAUGUUGAAUAUAUCGCUGCCAACUUAUCUCUGCCAGCUCAUCAAAACAAUUGUAAAGGAUUGGAUGAUGUAAUUUUUGAAAGAGUUAGUUAGUCCUCUAGUUAGCUAUAUAUAGCUAUGGUAAACAGAUAGUAAAGUUAGUUCAUUGAGUUCAAUACAAAACCUUCAUUCAUUGUUUCUCAUAUUUCUCUUCUCUCUGUAAAACUUCAUUUCUUGGUUUUACAAUUGUUCAUCUUUGCUUCUUCUCCAAUGUAGUUAACAUGGUAUUAGAGCCACUAGGCUCGCACCAUGGAUUUUGGUGGUUCCGUUUUUCAUUAAAUUUCAUCGUUUUUCUAGUUUUAUUUUCUCUUCAAAUUUUCUUCUGGUGGUUCCGUUUUUCAUUAGAUUUUCAUCAUUUUUCUAGUUUUAUUUUCUCUUCAAAUUUUCUUUAGAAAUUUCCAUUACUUUUUCGGUGGUUCCGCAAUUGUUCUUGGGUUGAUUUUUCGGCGAUUGUUGGGUUAAUUUUCCUUUGCCAACUACAUUCUACAAUAUCGAAUUUGGGGUUCUGCUUGGUGUUUGUGAAAAUGCCUGAAUGAAACUAAAUGCCACAAGGAGAUCGGAGAUCUGGAGAUUUGGUUCUUUCUUCUUGGUGGUCUGCUCAAAUCAUUGUCUGGAUUCUUUGGUGGGAAGCCAUGGUUGCUGCUGGUCAGUAGAUUGAUUGGUUUGCUUCCUCAUCGUUAUUUGGGUCAAGAUUGAAGUUCUUAUCAGGUUCUUGAUUUCU
rnacentral:lncRNA from 1 species